GCCUGGGUGGCUCAGUCGGUUGAGCAUCUGACUUCAGCUCAGGUCAUGAUCUCAUUGUUCUUGGGUUCAAGCCCCACAUCAGGCU
rnacentral:tRNA from 1 species